CCAUUAGUGUAUAUCUAAAUUGUUGUGGUUAAAAAGCUCGUAGUUGAAAGUAAAAAAACGAAAGGGAGCAGACAAAGUAAAAGGGAAGCAAUUUCUUUUUAAGUUUUGUCUGUUUCGUAAUAAAAUGAACUGGAGUGGAAAAUAAAGUUAAAUUUAUAUGAAACUCCUUGUUUACCAUAAAUAAAAUAGAGUGUUUAAAGCAGUACAAAAAUAGUUAAAUAUUUUGAAUUUGUACGUUGAAUAAUUCAGUAUGGGACAAUAAAACAUGAAAACUGGUGAUAAAGUGAAGGGAGAAAGGGGAGUAAUUUCUUUUCUUCUUUUUUAAAAAGAGUAUGAAUAAUGCUUUUUCACUUUAUUUAUAAUACUGGUUUUAAUGAUUAAUAGGGACAAUUGAGGCAAUCAGGAUUUCUUCACGAGCGGUGAAAUGCGUAGACUGAGGAAAGACUAACUAAUGCGAAAGCAUUUUGCAAAGGUGUUUUCAUUAA
rnacentral:rRNA from 1 species